GAUGAACGCUGGCGGCGUGCCUAAUACAUGCAAGUCGGGCGAACAGACGAGGAGCUUGCUCCUUCGACGUUAGCGGCGGACGGGUGAGUAACACGUAGGUAACCUACCUAUAAGACUGGGAUAACUUCGGGAAACCGGAGCUAAUACCGGAUAAUAUUUCGAACCGCAUGGUUCGAUAGUGAAAGAUGGCUUUGCUAUCACUUAUAGAUGGACCUGCGCCGUAUUAGCUAGUUGGUAAGGUAACGGCUUACCAAGGCAACGAUACGUAGCCGACCUGAGAGGGUGAUCGGCCACACUGGAACUGAGACACGGUCCAGACUCCUACGGGAGGCAGCAGUAGGGAAUCUUCCGCAAUGGGCGAAAGCCUGACGGAGCAACGCCGUGUGAGUGAUGAAGGUCUUCGGAUCGUAAAACUCUGUUAUUAGGGAAGAACAAACGUGUAAGUAACUGUGCACGUCUUGACGGUACCUAAUCAGAAAGCCACGGCUAACUACGUG
rnacentral:rRNA from 1 species